rnacentral:misc_RNA from 3 species
CAAAAUUCAAGCUCAGCUUGGUGAUGGGCGUCUGUCCCGCCUCCGCGCGCGGACUCGCCUCAAAAGUAGUUGGCAGCUCCCUUAUCGGCACUGAACGCAGCAAAUUUGCGGGACGCACCGAAGAAAGGGGCUUACCAGUAAGCAAACCACCCCA